UGGGGAAUUUUGCGCAAUGGGCGAAAGCCUGACGCAGCGACGCCGCGUGUGCGAUGAAGGCCUUUGGGUCGUAAAGCACUGUCGAUCGGGACGAAAGCUCACCGGAUAACACCUGGUGAGGUUGACGGUACCGGUAAAGGAAGCACCGGCCAACUCUGUGCCAGCAGCCGCGGUAAUACAGAGGGUGCAAACGUUGCUCGGAAUGAUUGGGCGUAAAGCGCGUGUAGGCUGUUUAGUAUGCCGGUUGUGAAAGCCCGUGGCUCAACCACGGAAGUGCAGUCGGAACUGCUAGACUAGAGUGCCGAAUAGGAUGGCGGAAUGCCCAGUGUAGAGGUGAAAUUCGUAGAUAUUGGGUAGAACACCGGUGGCGAAGGCGGCCAUCUGGGAGGUGACUGACGCUGAGACGCGAAAGCGUGGGUAGCAAACAGGAUUAGAUACCCCCGUAGUCC
rnacentral:rRNA from 1 species